UCUAUCUUGUUGUAUUGUAGUAGCAUAGUAGCUUUUCGUGCUGCGGGAGGUAAGUUUUUACUAGAUAGGG
rnacentral:tRNA from 1 species